GGAAGAGAUGGAAGAAGAGAGAGGAUCCUCCCUAAUGGAAAGAAAAAUGACAAGCUAUCUGAUGUUGGAGAGAAAUCCCUUUUGAAAGUUCAGAAGGGAAAUAUUUCUCCAAUAAAGAAAGACUGUCAUGGAAGAGAUGGAAGAAGGUAGAGGAUCCUCCCUAAUGGAACGAAAAAUGACAAUCAUUCUGAUGUUGAGAUAUCCCUUUUGAAAGUUCAGAAGGGAAAUAUUUCUCCAAUGAAGAAAGACUGUCAUGGAAAGAUUAUGCCCAAUAAUCCUGUAAUAACUUAUCAAACUCUAACAUCAAAGCUGCAGAUUUAUUGACGAAUUUGGAGUUGCAGAGUAAGGCAGGAUGGGGUUCCAUUGUGUACCCUAUUUAAAGCCGCUAAAAUGAGAUAGAAGCUUGAGGCUCAUUAAGUAGCCAGAUAACAAUGGUUUCGUGUGAAGAUCCAAACUGUUUGAUGCGAAGAGCCAAUCUGUUAUAUGUGAAGAGCCAAACUGUUAUUUCCAAGUAACCCUAGGACACUGUAAAUCAAGAAAGUAUUUACCCUUGCAACAUU